GUGUUUGCUCCAGCAGCACAUAUAUUCAAAUCGGAAUGAUAUAGGAAGAUUAUCAUGACUUCUGCUCAAGGAUGACAUGCAAAUUCAUGAAGCAUUUCAUAUUUUU
rnacentral:snRNA from 1 species